GAGUCUGAACUUGCACGCAGCACCCCGAGGAUAAGAUUUUUAAAAACCUCUUUUAUUUUGAGAUAGUUUUCAACUCAGAAGAGUUGAGAAAACAGCACAGAGAAUCCCCGCCCACCCAGCUUCUCCUUCUGUUCACGUGUUACCUAACCAUGGAACAGUGAUCAAAGCUGAGACACUGGCACUGGCGCAGGGCUGUCACUACAGACUUGACUCAGGGGCAUUUUCCCUCCGCAAUGAUCAAGAAGUACUAGCUAGCUUUGCUGUGUUGAACGGCAACGCCCUGAGCCAGCCAGAGCACCUCCAGGAAAGGACCGCAGCCGUCACUGCGUGGGCACCGGGCGCUGCCCACCUCUCCUCGGGGGAGGACUGUGCCCUGGCCGCGCGGGACCCCCAGCCGCGGGCUGCAGACACCACAGCCACGGCAAGGCAGUCGCUGCGUCCCUGACCCCAGCGGGCUGCAGGCGCCCCAGGACUCCGCCGGGUCCCUGCUGGAGAUGCCGCUCGAGGCGGUGGGGUUUGCUCUCCCUUCCGCCAGAGGCCCCCUCGGCAUCCCCCGACGUCUCUGCCUCCAGCUCCACGUGCUCCUGGCAAAGACAGAGCAUCGCAGAGUCUUCCUAGCGGGCUGGAGGGGCUGCUUCUACAAGCAACAGCGGCUCCCGGGUAUGGGGCCUCGCUGGGGGCGUGGAUUCGAGCCCCCUUCCUCUGCCAGGGCCUUCCUCGGAGCUCUCUGAUUGCACCCAGACUGAACAGAGAGGAGCACCGAGGUUACAAAAUGGGGCCGCUGCCUGGAGCUCAAGGGAAGGCUGGCCCGGGCCCGCCCCGUAAGGACCGGCAAGCCGCACCUGUCUCUCCGUCGCCCUCCGGACUCGCAGGCCUUGCCCCCGCACGGCACUACCUACCCGAUUUGUUUUUGUUCUUCCGCCGCACCAGCCUUGGCUGUUUCUCCCAGCACGUGGCAGAAGAUGCCGCCCCUUCCACUCCCAACGUUACAAGGAUGUUUCUCAAACGUCUGAGUUGGUCCUCUCCGCGUCCAUUCCAAAGUCACAGAAAAAUAUCUGAGCAGUUGAGAUGGUCAGAGCGGAUUGUCAGACGGAGGAUAUGGUGAUGCCCUGAGUUCCGAUUGCAGAAGACGCCUCUCAGCCUGGGCCAAAAGCUUCUCCAAGGAUGUAUGGACAUGAGGCGCCGGGGAAGGUGGUCACAGAGGGUCAUAGGAUGUAAUGACGUAGCUGCCUGGACCCACACCUGUUAGGGCUCAGGGAUGUGUGUGUGGUCUUGUGGUUGGACAGAGACAUCCCUAAGCGUCUACCACGUCAGAGAGAUAACCAGAAAGAGGAAAAGUUGGAGACACCCUCCAUCCAGAAAUUUCCUUUCUUGAGGGUACCCGCCUGCUGUUCACUUCAGCAAAGUUCCUCAUUAACAUGGCCCUGCUGAGUCCAGAGAUUUGGUCCCAGAUUAUCUAAUCAUCCUCUGUCUUCCCUGGAGUGGAUAAACUGAUAUAUGCUGGGAAGCUUUGGUGAGUUUACAUCUCUUUUAAUAUGCAUUGGGCACAGAUGGUUACCAGGUUGUCUGCUAUCUGUAAGUCUUCUUUCAUCAAAGGCUGAUCAAACUUCAGUGCAAGCAGCUUUAAAGGGACAAGCUUCUGGGCUUGGAAAUGCACGGAUAAUACACACGUUGCUGUGGUGGCUCCGUUGUUAAUGAAAGAAAAAUGAUCCACAUCCUCUUCUGGGAUAACGAAGUCUCUGAAUAUAUUUAUUUCAAGAUUUAGGGGCUGGGAGGAACUAGCCACAAAUCACAGAGCAACCAUUAACGAGCCUCUGUCCCUACCUGUUAAGCUUAUUAACUGCCUGUUCCCUACAGCGCUAUUUCCCACCUGGGGCAACACAAUGGCUGCUUCUGCCGUUUCAGCGGCUGAAAAACACAGAAGUUCAUCAAAGGCACGGGAGGACCUGGAAAUGCAAUCAGGAGACGUGUGCCGGCUGAGAUUGCUGGGGCAGUGGGAGGUGGCCGGGGGGAAGGAUCUGGUGCUGUCUGAGCUGAGAUUUAGCUAAUUAAAUCCGGCUGUCCUUUGCUCUGUCUUCUCACUCCAUGCAAGCCAAGGGCGUGAAAGGUUCCGUCCCUGCCCUCAAGGAGCCCCUGUGCUCUUCGGGUGGGGAGGCUCCACGGAACUGAACACAGGGAUUCUUCUGGGACGCGGGUCGGUGGCAGCGAUGCUGCGGCUACAUGAGUAAGUGCUAAAGUCACAAAAAGAGUGGACAGGGCUCUUAGCUGGGGCAGAGGGGACUUCGGUUUUGCUCCCGUUCUACCCUGUGACAGGGGCCGAGCUGUUCAUUUUCUUUGUCUCAGUUUUCUUCUGAAGAGUUUGACCUUGGUCAUUGCUAAAAUAAAAUAUUCAUGAGAUGCACUCUUAUGUAUCCAUGAGACGGGUGUAGGGAUGGACAAUUGCUUCGAGGGAGGAGCCUUAAUC
ensembl:lncRNA